AACGAACGCUGGCGGCAUGCCUAACACAUGCAAGUCGAACGGGACCUUCGGGUCUAGUGGCGCACGGGUGCGUAACGCGUGGGAACCUGCCUUUAGGUUCGGAAUAACUCAGAGAAAUUUGAGCUAAUACCGGAUGAUGUCUUCGGACCAAAGAUUUAUCGCCUUUAGAUGGGCCCGCGUUGGAUUAGCUAGUUGGUGGGGUAAAGGCCUACCAAGGCGACGAUCCAUAGCUGGUCUGAGAGGAUGAUCAGCCACACUGGGACUGAGACACGGCCCAGACUCCUACGGGAGGCAGCAGUGGGGAAUAUUGGACAAUGGGCGAAAGCCUGAUCCAGCAAUGCCGCGUGAGUGAUGAAGGCCUUAGGGUUGUAAAGCUCUUUUACCCGAGAUGAUAAUGACAGUAUCGGGAGAAUAAGCUCCGGCUAACUCCGU
rnacentral:rRNA from 1 species